rnacentral:piRNA from 1 species
UACUGGUAUAAACAGGAGUUUGACAUCAAC